GGGCGAUAGCUGGGUUUAUCCGAGUGGGCGUUGGGAUUGUAAAUCCUCUCGCGUUAGCGUUCGGUGGUUCGAAUCCACCCGCGCCCA
rnacentral:tRNA from 1 species